UUUUUUUUUUUUUUUUUUUUUUUUAAAACAGGAUAAUUAGCUUAAAUGAUUCAUCUUCAAUAUCUAUGACAGCCACACAGAAGUUGCCCGAAUACAGACUCGUUGCAUUGUCGCUAAGGCCCGGCUUUUGCUGUCCCCAGAUCGGGUUUUAAGGGUUAGCGACCGGGGUCGUUAUCCCAAUAUAGGCUAACUUACGUCACAUCUCCGGAGAAACACAAACAUAACAAAAACACACAAUGGCUAUAGUAUAGAUCACGACACUAAUUGCACAGCCUUUGCAUUUUUUACUUAUUUUGUAAAUGUGAAGUUCGUUUUCCAAGCACAAUUACGCAGGGAGUCCUCCAGUGUGUGGGCGGGAGCGGCCCCGGCGAGGGCUCUCGGCUCCCCCCUGUGUGAUUUUAGUUUUCUGCGGUGAACGCCCAAUAUAAUCGGCGAGACUGAGGAUCCUCUGGGACUUGGGUUCAUAUUGUUGACGGUUCUUAUUUACCGUCGCUAAGGAGACCCAGCGGAGAAACAUCUGGCCUCUCUUGCUCACUCGUUCAUUCAUCCUUGACCACGCUUGAGUGACUGUGAAAGACUGAAGCACUUAAUCAGUGAGGCAGUUGCUUGGACGCUGGAUAUGGAGGGAUUCCAGCUGUUGAAUUGCCAGCUUGAAUAAAAGCAAUAAAGAAAAUCACAGAACUCGGGUUCAGUAAUGAUAUGCAAACGUCACAGAACUUUGUGGAAACAAUCUGAAUAAACUUUAACACUUUAUAUCAUCCGUUCAUUUUUAGUACUGAACGCUAAUUCAACCGGCUUAACUAAUCUGUUAUUUUUAAAUAAAACAUUUCCAGUCCCCC